rnacentral:rRNA from 1 species
GGGGAAUAUUGCACAAUGGGGGAAACCCUGAUGCAGCGACGCCGCGUGGAGGAAGAAGGUCUUCGGAUUGUAAACUCCUGUUGUUGAGGAAGAUAAUGACGGUACUCAACAAGGAAGUGACGGCUAACUACGUGCCAGCAGCCGCGGUAAAACGUAGGUCACAAGCGUUGUCCGGAAUUACUGGGUGUAAAGGGAGCGCAGGCGGGAAGACAAGUUGGAAGUGAAAUCCAUGGGCUCAACCCAUGAACUGCUUUCAAAACUGUUUUUCUUGAGUAGUGCAGAGGUAGGCGGAAUUCCCGGUGUAGCGGUGGAAUGCGUAGAUAUCGGGAGGAACACCAGUGGCGAAGGCGGCCUACUGGGCACCAACUGACGCUGAGGCUCGAAAGUGUGGGUAGCAAACAGGAUUAGAUACCCUGGUAGUCCACACCGUAAACGAUGAUUACUAGGUGUUGGAGGAUUGACCCCUUCAGUGCCGCAGUUAACACAAUAAGUAAUCCACCUGGGGAGUACGACCGCAAGGUUGAAACUCAAAGGAAUUGACGGGGGCCCGCACAAGCAGUGGAGUAUGUGGUUUAAUUCGAUGCAACGCGAAGAACCUUACCAAGUCUUGACAUCCUGCGACGAUGCUGGAAACAGUAUUUUCCUUCGGGACGCAGAGACAGGUGGUGCAUGGUUGUCGUCAGCUCGUGUCGUGAGAUGUUGGGUUAAGUCCCGCAACGAGCGCAACCCUUAUGGUCAGUUACUACGCAAGAGGACUCUGGCCAGACUGCCGUUGACAAAACGGAGGAAGGUGGGGAUGACGUCAAAUCAUCAUGCCCUUUAUGACUUGGGCUACACACGUACUACAAUGGCGUUAAACAAAGAGAAGCAAGACCGCGAGGUGGAGCAAAACUCAGAAACAACGUCCCAGUUCGGACUGCAGGCUGCAACUCGCCUGCACGAAGUCGGAAUUGCUAGUAAUCGUGGAUCAGCAUGCCACGGUGAAUACGUUCCCG